rnacentral:rRNA from 1 species
AUUGAACGCUGGCGGCAGGCCUAACACAUGCAAGUCGAGCGGCAGCGGGAAAGUAGCUUGCUACUUUUGCCGGCGAGCGGCGGACGGGUGAGUAAUGCCUGGGAAGUUGCCCAGUCGAGGGGGAUAACAGUUGGAAACGACUGCUAAUACCGCAUACGCCCUACGGGGGAAAGCAGGGGACCUUCGGGCCUUGCGCGAUUGGAUAUGCCCGGGUGGGAUUAGCUAGUUGGUGAGGUAAUGGCUCACCAAGGCGACGCUCCCUAGCUGGUCUGAGAGGAUGAUCAGCCACACUGGAACGGAGACACGGUCCAGACUCCUACGGGAGGCAGCAGUGGGGAAUAUUGCACAAUGGGGGAAACCCUGAUGCAGCCAUGCCGCGUGUGUGAAGAAGGCCUUCGGGUUGUAAAGCACUUUCAGCGAGGAGGAAAGGUUGAUGCCUAAUACGUAUCAACUGUGACGUUACUCGCAGAAGAAGCACCGGCUAACUCCGUGCCAGCAGCCGCCGUAA